ensembl:lncRNA
AUUUGAUGAUACCACUGAAUCUGAUACGAUUCGAUUCAUUUCUUAAGGUAACGAUUCAGUUUUCUAUGAUACCACUGAAUCUGAUACGAUUCGAUUCCUAAGAUAGCGAUUCGAUAUUUGAUGAUACCACUGAAUCUGAUACGAUUCGAUUCAUUUCUUAAGGUAACGAUUCAGUUUUCUAUGAUACCACUGAAUCUGAUACGAUUCAAAUUCCUAAGAUAGCGAUUCGAUAUUUGAUGAUACCACUGAAUCUGAUACGAUUCGAUUCAUUUCUUAAGGUAACGAUUCAGUUUUCUAUGAUACCACUGAAUCUGAUACGAUUCGAUUCCUUAGAUAACGAUUCGAUAUCUGACGAUACCACUGAAUCUGAUACGAUUCAAUUCCUAAGGUAACGAUUCAAUAUUUGACGGUACCGCUGAAUCUGAUACGAUUCGAUUCAUUUCUUAAGGUAACGAUUCAGUUUUCUAUGAUACCACUGAAUCUGACACGAUUCGAUUCCUAAGAUAACGAUUCGAUAUUUGAUGAUACCACUGAAUCUGAUACAAUAUGAUUAGAUUCUUAAGGUCCUUUUUCCAAUAAAAAUCUAAUUUAUGAUUGCUGCCUCGAGUCAUAUCAAUCUUUUAAAUUGAUGCACUGAUCCAAAUCGUCUGAAUUAUUAUUUUUUUUGGUUGAUUAAAAUCUCUCUGUUAAUAGCUGCUCUACACAGGGGCAUAAUCUUUCUAAUGUAGGGUGUGUUUAAAUAUACAAAAUAAUCGAUAACUGCAAAAAAAAAAAAAAAAAAUCUAAUUCUGGCAAUAAUCUGAUCAUGGUCUUUAUAAGAGCUUGAUAAUCUGAUAAGAGGAAAGCUUCAGGUCUAUAUGAUUCAUGAGUCACUCUUUAAUUAGAUUUAAUGAAUCAUCACUUUUUAAAUACGAGCAGCUUGUAGGUAAUUCAGGUACGUUUCACUGUUUCUGUUUGAAUCACAGCCGAGUCGAGGUUACAGGCCGAUAUCGAGUCACUCCUGAGUCACUUUACUCGUAAACACUCAUCCAGGACUUUUUAUAAUCGCAGACUGAACAUAACACAGAGCUUUAUUGCCAUCUGUUUAUUUUUCUCUCGCCGAGUGUUAACAGCCGUUUGUGUCAGAUAGACAAGCACAGUAAUGGAUUUUGACGGCUUGUCAAUCAUGUAAGCCACGCCCCCUUAUCCAUGGUGAUGAGAGAGAGACGGAGAGAGAGUGACGCUGGUGAAAGCGUGUGAUUAUCGUCUAGACUCACUCAUUCAGAGGCCGUCAACAUAAACAAUAAUCACACUUUACAUUAUGUUUGUGCUAUAUUCAUUCCAUCAUUUCUUUAGUGCAGCUCUCUAAAAAUAACACACACACACACACAAUGAAGCGAGGUGGGGCAGCAGAGGAAAACAGCUGGCAGUAGGAGUGUGUGUGUGUGUGUGUAUGUGUGUGUGUGUGUGUGUGUGUGAUUACUGCACACAGUACUCUCUCUCUCUGUCUGUCGGUCUCUCUCUCUACGUGGUUAUGUAUAUGAGAUCCUGAUGAAGCUCUGAGGACUCUGUGCUAUUUUUUAACGUGACCUGGUUUAAAACACACACACACACACAAUGUUUCACCUUCAGGCAAUGAGAGAGAGAGAGAGAGAGAGAGAGAGAGAGAGAGAGAGAGAGAGAGAAACAGAGACAAACACACACAACACACAGAAAUACAGAGAGAGAGGGUGAAAGACACACACGUACACAGAGAAAGAGAGGAAAAAGAAAUGAAAAAGAAAAAAGAGGGAGAAAGAAAAAGAGAGAAAUGCACACACAGAGAGAAAGAUGGACUGAGAGAGCGACAGAGGAAAAAGAAAAUGAGAGAGAGAGGGAGGGAGAGGGAGGGAGAGAGAGAGCGAUAGAAUGCUGAAUUAUAAUCAUGAGCUCGUUAUUCAUAUAAUGUUAUGUUUUCAGGUUUUAUAUGUUGAAAUGUUGCAUACAGCAGUUUAUUUAUUUAUUUAUUUAUUUAUUUAUUUAUUUAUGUGUUUAUUAUAUGUGUAAGUAUUUUGUGCAGAUUUUUAAAAUAGAUUGAUAGUUAUUUUAUGAAUAUUUCAUCUUUUAAAGUUUUUUUUAAUUUUUGUAAAAAAAAAUAAAUGCUCUAUCAAUAAUAAUAAUAAUGAACAGAAAUAUAAUUCUUACAGAUCAAUAAUACUUUAUUAUUUAAAUGUUGUUUUAAAAAAAAAAAAUUAUUUCUAGUCAAUUUGUGUUUAAAUUUGAGUCUCUUAAAGGGAAUCACCGAAUACAGAGCCCCUUUAACCUUCACACACAAACGGUGAGGAUUUUUGUGGCUCUGAAGCAGAAAGGAGGAGGAGGAGGAAGAGGAAGAGGAAGAGAAGGAGGAGGAGGAGGUGGACGAG